CCUACGGGUGGCAGCAGUGAGGAAUAUUGGUCAAUGGGCGGAAGCCUGAACCAGCCAAGUAGCGUGCAGGAUGACGGCCCUACGGGUUGUAAACUGCUUUUAUACGGGAAUAACGCGCCUUACGUGUAGGGCUUUGCAUGUACCGUAUGAAUAAGGACCGGCUAAUUCCGUGCCAGCAGCCGCGGUAAUACGGAAGGUCCGGGCGUUAUCCGGAUUUAUUGGGUUUAAAGGGAGCGUAGGCCGCAUGUCAAGCGUGCUGUGAAAUGUCCGGGCUCAACCCGGGCCUUGCAGCGCGAACUGGCGGGCUUGAGUCCGCGGAAAGCAGGCGGAAUUCGUCGUGUAGCGGUGAAAUGCUUAGAUAUGACGAAGAACCCCGAUUGCGAAGGCGGCUUACUGGACUGUAACUGACGUUGAGGCUCGAAAGCGUGGGGAGCAAACAGGAUUAGAUACCCGUGUAGUC
rnacentral:rRNA from 1 species